GCUUGCACCCCGCUGACGAGCGGCGGACGGGUGAGUAAUGCAUAGGAAACUGCCCAGUAGUGGGGGAUAGCCCGGGGAAACCCGGAUUAAUACCGCGUACGCCCUUCGGGGGAAAGCAGGGGAUCUUCGGACCUUGCGCUAUUGGAUGUGCCUAUGUCGGAUUAGCUAGUUGGUGGGGUAAAGGCCUACCAAGGCGACGAUCCGUAGCUGGUCUGAGAGGAUGAUCAGCCACAUCGGGACUGAGACACGGCCCGAACUCCUACGGGAGGCAGCAGUGGGGAAUAUUGGACAAUGGGGGCAACCCUGAUCCAGCCAUGCCGCGUGUGUGAAGAAGGCUUUCGGGUUGUAAAGCACUUUCAGUGAGGAGGAAAACUCUGCGACUAAUACUCGUAGGGCUUGACGUUACUCACAGAAGAAGCACCGGCUAACUCCGUGCCAGCAGCCGCGGUAAUACGGAGGGUGCAAGCGUUAAUCGGAAUUACUGGGCGUAAAGCG
rnacentral:rRNA from 1 species